rnacentral:rRNA from 1 species
UACGUAGGCAGCGAGCGUUGUUCGGAGUUACUGGGCGUAAAGGGCGCGUAGGCGGCCGAUCAAGUCAGGCGUGAAAUUCCCGGGCUCAACCUGGGGGCUGCGCUUGAUACUGAUUGGCUUGAAUGCGGGAGGGGAUAGUGGAAUUCCCAGUGUAGAGGUGAAAUUCGUAGAUAUUGGGAAGAACACCGGUGGCGAAGGCGGCUAUCUGGCCCGUAAUUGACGCUGAGGCGCGAAAGCGUGGGGAGCAAACAGG